GACGAACGCUGGCGGCGUGCCUAACACAUGCAAGUCGAACGGAAAGGUCCGGCCUUUGUGGGGUGCUCGAGGGGCGAACGGGUGAGUAACACGUGAGUACCGUGUACCUCACCUUGGGAUAUCCUCAUGCAACUGGGGCUCAUACCGGAUAGGAGCUACCGCCGCUGGGUGGGGGCGGGAAAGUUUCGGCGGUUGGGGGUGGAAACGCGGCUUAUCAGCUUGGUGGUGGGGUAGUGGAUUACCAAGGUCUGGCGCGGUAGCCGGCCUGGGAGGGUCGCCGGCCACGUUGGGACUGGAAUGCGGCCCAGACUCCUACGGGAGGCAGCGGUGGAGAGUGUUACACAAUGGGCGGGGGCCAGAUGCGACAACGCAGCGUGCGGGAUGACGGCAUUCGGGUUGUGAUCCGCUUUCGCCUGUGACGAGGCGUGAGUGACGGUAACGGGUGAAGAAGCACCGGCUAACUACGUG
rnacentral:rRNA from 1 species